rnacentral:rRNA from 1 species
GGCCGAUUAGUUAGUUGGCGGGGUAAUGGCCCACCAAGACGAUGAUCGGUAUCCGGCCUGAGAGGGCGCACGGACACACUGGAACUGAAACACGGUCCAGACUCCUACGGGAGGCAGCAGUGGGGAAUUUUGCGCAAUGGGGGAAACCCUGACGCAGCAACGCCGCGUGGAGGAUGAAAUCCCUUGGGAUGUAAACUCCUUUCGAUGGGGAAGAUUAUGACGGUACCCAUAGAAGAAGCCCCGGCUAACUUCGUGCCAGCAGCCGCGGUAAUACGAGGGGGGCAAGCGUUGUUCGGAAUUAUUGGGCGUAAAGGGUGCGUAGGCGGUUUGACAAGUCUGAUGUGAAAUCUAUGGGCUCAACCCAUAGUCUGCAUCGGAAACUGUCGGGCUUGAGUAUGGGAGAGGUGAGUGGAAUUUCCGGUGUAGCGGUGAAAUGCGUAGAUAUCGGAAGGAACACCUGUGGCGAAAGCGGCUCACUGGACCAUUACUGACGCUGAGGCACGAAAGCUAGGGGAGCA